UACAGAGGGUGCGAGCGUUAAUCGGAAUUACUGGGCGUAAAGCGCACGUAGUCGGCUUGUCAAGUCGGGUGUGAAAUCCCCGGGCUCAACCUGGGAACUGCAUCCGAGACUGACGAGCUAGAGUAUGGUAGAGGGUGGUGGAAUUUCCUGUGUAGCGGUGAAAUGCGUAGAUAUAGGAAGGAACACCAGUGGCGAAGGCGACCACCUGGACUGAUACUGACACUGAGGUGCGAAAGCGUGGGGAGCAAACAGGAUUAGAUACCCCUGUAGU
rnacentral:rRNA from 1 species